rnacentral:rRNA from 1 species
GACGAACCGUGCGAACGUUGUUCGGAAUCACUGGGCUUAAAGGGCGCGUAGGCGGGCAACCAAGUCGGGGGUGAAAUCUUUCGGCCCAACCGGAAAAGGGCCUUCGAUACUGGUUGUCUGGAGGAAGGUAGGGGUGUGUGGAACUUCCGGUGGAGCGGUGAAAUGCGUAGAGAUCGGAAGGAACGCCGGUGGCGAAAGCGACGCACUGGACCUUUUCUGACGCUGAGGCGCGAAAGCCAGGGGAGCAAACGGG